AGACAAACCCAAGGAGCUCUGAGCCGGGCUGAAAAAGGAAAUGGUCCUUGGGAGUGGGACUUGGUGUGCAACUCCAACAAACUGAAGGAGAUGGCCCAGUCUAUCUUCAUGGCAGGUAUACUGAUUGGAGGGCUCGUGCUUGGAGACCUGUCUGACAGGUUUGGCCGCAGGCCCAUCCUGACCUGCAGCUACCUGCUGCUGGCAGCCAGCGGCUCCGGUGCAGCCUUCAGCCCCACCUUCCCCAUCUACAUGGUCUUCCGCUUCCUGUGUGGCUUUGGCAUCUCAGGCAUUACCCUGAGCACCGUCAUCUUGAAUGUGGAAUGGGUGCCUACCCGGAUGCGGGCCAUCAUGUCGACAGCACUCGGGUACUGCUACACCUUUGGCCAGUUCAUUCUGCCCGGCCUGGCCUACGCCAUCCCCCAGUGGCGUUGGCUGCAGUUAACUGUGUCCAUUCCCUUCUUCAUCUUCUUCCUAUCAUCCUGGUGGACACCAGAGUCCAUACGCUGGUUGGUCUUGUCUGGAAAGUCCUCAAAGGCCCUGAAG
rnacentral:sRNA from 1 species